UACGGGGGGGGCAAGCGUUGUUCGGAAUUACUGGGCGUAAAGGGCUCGUAGGCGGCCAACUAAGUCCGACGUGAAAUCCCAAGGCUUAACCUUGGAACUGCGUCGGAUACUGGAUGGCUUGAAUUCGGGAGAGGGAUGCAGAAUUCCAGGUGUAGCGGUGAAAUGCGCAGAUAUCAGGAGGAACACCAAUUGCGAAGGCAGCUCGCUGAGACGUUACUGACGCUGAGACGCGAAAGCGUGGGGAGCAAACAGG
rnacentral:rRNA from 1 species